rnacentral:rRNA from 1 species
GAUGAACGCUGGCGGCGUGCCUAAUACAUGCAAGUAGAACGCUGAAGGAGGAGCUUGCUCUUCUGGAUGAGUUGCGAACGGGUGAGUAACGCGUAUGUAACCUGCCUGGUAGCGGGGGAUAACUAUUGGAAACGAUAGCUAAUACCGCAUGACAACAGUUAUUGCAUGAUAACUGUUUAAAAGGGGCAACUGCUCCACUACCAGAUGGACCUGCGUUGUAUUAUCUAGUUGGUGAGGUAACGGCUCACCAAGGCGACGAUACAUAGCCGACCUGAGAGGGUGAUCGGCCAAACUGGGACUGAGACACGGCCCAGACUCCUACGGGAGGCAGCAGUAGGGAAUCUUCGGCAAUGGACGGAAGUCUGACCGAGCAACGCCGCGUGAGUGAAGAAGGUUUUCGGAUCGUAAAGCUCUGUUGUAAGAGAAGAACGAGUGUGAGAGUGGAAAGUUCACACUGUGACGGUAUCUUACCAGAAAGGGACGGCUAACUACGUG